AUUAGAAUUUCUUUAGUUUCCUCUCAAUCCCGUCUUUGAGUUUGGAAUUGGAUCUAUAAUAUUCUUGAAACUGUGUUGUAGCUUAUAAAAACUAAAGAGUAAUGUCACCUAAAGUGAUUUGUGUGGUUGUGUAAGACUGAGAGGAUCAUAGAGACACACUGCUGCCUGUCGUAUUCACGUAAUAAUUCCAUGAUCAUUGAGCUGCUGAAUAUAUGCCUCCAGACCAAUCCAACAGUAGACGAGUAGUGUCCCGCCGGUCCUGAACACGCCCUUAAACAACCUCCAAUGCUGACGAAAAUCUGGUGUGACUCAAGCGCAGAGGUUCCAAGACAAUGUCGUGUUUUAGUUUUAUUCACGUUAACUUCACUCUGACUCUCCAGCGACAGGCAACCCAAAGAAGCACAUCGUGGGGAUUCCUCUGGGUUGGAAACAUUUUACGUAUCCAUCUGUUUACAGUGAUAUAAAACAAAGAUGCAGCAGAUUCUUUGGAGAAGCUGGAAUCGGAACUUGCUUUAGCUUCUUAUUUUUGCUUGAUAAACAACCUAAAUGAUCAAUCAAUUAUCACAAAUCCUUUUUGAUGGAUUUCAGGAAUGACGUAUGUUGUACUGCUCUUUGCUUUCUUCCAGUUGAAAGAAUACAAGUUGCUGUAUUUCCAUAAUAUUCUGUACAGACAGUUUCAUGUUUUUGGUCGUGCAAGUUCCAGUGUGACCUUUUCCCUCAAAGACAGGCGAGGCAAGUGAGAAAAGAUGUUCCAGGUUCCUCUAAAUGUCAAACGUUAAGUACAGUGCAGGGAGACUCCCCGUGUCAGCUGUCAAGGAUUAAAACAUGUGUUUGGGCGGCUUGUCAAGGACCAGAAAAGAAGCCCAAGAGUCGCAGUCUGCAUGAUUCAUCGUGUGCAUUUGUUCGUAAUGUCAGACGGUAAACAUUUCAAACAGUGAGCUCAGGUCCUCAGAGGAAAGACGAUAGGUCGCUGGCACAAAAAAGCUCUGGAUGGGAGUUAUGGAUGUUUUGGCCCCUUUGAUUCACCAGCAGUCCUGCAUGCCAGAUGCCUUCAGUAGUCUCUAUGUUUGGAUUAAGAGAUAACCUCUCCAGCAGGCACAAAGCCUUGUGGUGUGGCUCACACAGAGUCUGAUUUAGCUAUGAAAUCACACCAUCAGUGUUUGGCAAAAGCUGUCGUGAAUGUUAUUGUCUUUUUAAUCCAUCAUGUGAGGUAUAUCCAGCAGACCUCAGCGGCUUGUCUCUCAUAAACUGAAAAACAGAGAAGCUGAACGGACGGAGAGAGACGAGGUCUGACGUAGGUCUGCUGCAGAACAUGACUUCAUUUUGGGUAACACUGUUUUUAAUAAUUUAUCAGAGGAGAGCUAGAAGCUGUUGUAGCAUCAGAUUUUGGCUCUUUUAUUAUAUAGUAGAACAAUUUAGAUAUGAAUAAGUGUUCCUGCAAUAUGUGUAAGAAAGCUGAUUUCUUUUCAAGAUUGCAAGACAAAAAUCAGCAGGUUAGUUUUCUUUUAAUAACUGGAGGCAUUUACAAGGUUUGAGCCUUUCUUAGGAAUUAUCUAUGAUAAAAUUCUUGAGAUACAGUGAUGUUAACUUGACCGAGAAAUAAUUACUUCCUUAACACGGAUACAGGAGGGGCUCGGAGCAGAAUCUAUCGUCAAACCCUCUUCAGUUAUUCAUAGAAAAGUACCACUGUAAUAUUCCAUUUUCAGCUGUGUGUUGAUAUGUGUGCAUAGGAACUAAAGUAGACCAUUGUCCAAAAUGUAACCAUGCAAAUUGUUGUUUAGACUAUCCCGUGUGUGUGCAGUACAGCUGUAGGAGCAAACAGGUGCACUUUAAGACAAGUGGUGGGAGAAAUUUCAGCUGUCAUCUGUCACGAUGUUAAUGAAACAGCUCCCCAAAGAGGAAGCACACAAGCUGAACCGGACGGUUGCUCUACCCCAGAGGAUUUGUGGGAACUCAUUUUUCAGGAAUAGCAAUGAUGCAACACGCAAAACACGCUUCAUCUUAUCUCCCAUUUGACCCACAAUUUGGAUGAAAAUGUUGCAUUUGCUGGCUGCAUCUGUUAGCAGAGAUUCCACAAGAGUGUGAUUAUGUUGUUAAAGUAGGUGGUUUCUCAUCUGUGCAGGUUUAUGAACCCUUCAUCACAGGCGGACCUGUCCAUUGGUCAAAGAGAGAUCAAACCCUUUAAUGUUACAGGCUUAAGAUGUGUAUAUUAAGGUUCGUUGUACACUCUGUGCUGACGACAAAGUACAAUCAAGAUUCAAAAACACAACGUCAAAUUUGAGGAAACAUUUGGAGUCGCUGCAGAAGGCUGCAGAUUAUUCUUCAGACUCUUUGCCCUAAAGUGGGUAGAAAGAGAAAUAAGAAUUAAUGAACGAGAGGAGAACAGGACUUGCAGGACUGAUGCAGUGAAAAUAUUUGCUUGUUGACCUGGGACUCGGCGAUGUCGGCACGCUCCUGAGCCUCCUCCAUCUCAUGCUGCACCUUCCUGUACCUGGUCAGGUGAGCGUUGGCCUGCUCCUCCUGUGAGGAAAUCCAACAACCAUCAAGACUGAGCAAACAGAGAUUUUCCUGAUUCUAACCUUCACUUUCAGCUGCAGCUUGUCCACCAGAUCCUGGAGUCUGAUGACGUUCUUCUUGUCCUCCUCAGUCUGCAGUAAACGUAAAUUCAUGAUUGAAAUGUUUAAUUUGAAGCUUUGCAUCAGACAACUGUACCAAUAAGAUAGAAAAAAAAGCCCUGCUGACCUGAUAGCCUCCAGUUUCUGGAGCUGCUUCUUGCCACCCUUCAUGGCCAGAUUCUCAGCCUCAUCCAGACGGUGCUGCAGGUCCUUCACUGUCACCUCCAGGUUCUUCUUCAUCCUCUCCAAAUGAGAGCUGGUGUCCU